GCCCCGUGAUGACACCAAGGCGAAUGUGAGCUCACUGGGUAGGAGUCUGAGUUCUUCUGCAUUGCUCUUGGCUGGUAAUCUUGACAGGGCAGUGGAGGUUUGCUGCUUUGUUGUAAGGGCCUGCCUAUAGACAUACAGCCCCCCUCCUUUCAGCUCUUCUGUAAAGAAAAGCAGGAGAGAGAGUGUGUGGUGCUGACAUUAUGUGGGUGAGCGUUUAUCCGUGUAUGUGUUUGCAAGUAGAUUCUCAGUUCUCUGAUUUAUCCAGCAUGCUUUGAACUUCAUCUUUGGUAAUCUGAGGGUG